GAUCUGAUCUCAAAUCAGGUAGGACUACCCGCUGAACUUAAGCAUAUCAAUAAGCGGAGGA
rnacentral:rRNA from 1 species